GCCGGCGUGGCCUAAUGGCUAAGGCGUCUGACUGUAAAUCAGAAGAUCGGGAGUUCGACCCUCCCCGUUGGCU